rnacentral:rRNA from 1 species
UCGAACGAAAGUUUUUAACUUUAGUGGCGAACGGGUGCGUAAUACGUGAGAAUCUGCCCUUAGGAGAAGAAUAACUGCUGGAAACGGCUGCUAAAUCUUCAUAUGCCGAGAGGUGAAAUAGUUUAGGCUGCCUAAGGAUGAGCUCACGCCUGAUUAGCUAGUUGGUAAGGUAAUGGCUUACCAAGGCCACGAUCAGUAGCUGGUUUGAGAGAACGAUCAGCCACACUGGGACUGAGACACGGCCCAGACUCCUCCGGGAGGCAGCAGUGAGGAAUUUUCCGCAAUGGGCGAAAGCCUGACGGAGCAAUACCGCGUGAGGGAUGAAGGAUUUUGGUCUGUAAACCUCUUUUCUCAAGAAAGAAGUUCUGACGGUACUUGAGGAAUAAGCAUCGGCUAACUCCGUGCCAGCAGCCGCGGUAAUACGGGGGAUGCAAGCGUUAUCCGGAAUCAUUGGGCGUAAAGCGCCUGUAGGUUGUUUACUAAGUCUGUUGUUAAAGACUAGGGCUUAACCCUAGAAAAGCAAUGGAAACUUGUAGACUAGAGUAUGGCAGGGGUAGAGGGAAUUUCUAGUGUAGCGGUGAAAUGAGUAGAUAUUAGAAAGAACACCAGUGGCGAAAGCGCUCUACUGGACCAUUACUGACACUCAGAGGCGAAAGCUAGGGUAGCAAAAGGGAUUAGAUACCCCUGUAGUCCUAGCCGUAAACGAUGGAUACUAGAUGUUGUGCAUAGUACAGUAUCGUAGCUAACGCGUUAAGUAUCCCGCCUGGGGAGUACGCUCGCAAGGGUGAAACUCAAAGGAAUUGACGGGGGCCCGCACAAGCGGUGGAGCAUGUGGUUUAAUUCGAUGCAACGCGAAGAACCUUACCAGGGCUUGACAUACUACAGAUUCCUUUGAGAAAAGGAAGUGCCUUCGGGAAUGUAGAUACAGGUGGUGCAUGGCUGUCGUCAGCUCGUGUCGUGAGAUGUUGGGUUAAGUCCCGCAACGAGCGCAACCCUUAUUUUUAGUUACCAAUUCGUUGGGUUUUUUAGAAAGACUGCCGGUGACAAACCGGAGGAAGGUGAGGAUGACGUCAAGUCAGCAUGCCCCUU